rnacentral:rRNA from 1 species
AUGGUUAUACUGGAUCCAACAUCAUUAACACCCCAAACUGCAAACUGCAUUGUUCCAUUGCCUCUAAAAAGUAACCAACAACCUAAACACAACCAGCUUGCCUCUAAACAAUCCUCAAAAGUUUUACUCCAAAUUGUCCCACUCAACCAUCCGCUAAAGUUUUACUCCAAAUUUAUCGCGUACCAAUCAAAAAAAUCAUGUAGCUCCCACUGUAGCAAAACUCAUCAAGUAAAUACGGCAAUUCUAAACCCAACAUCACUAACCCCCAAAGUGCAAGCUACAAAUGUUCCAUUGGCCCAAGUAAAAAAAGCUAUCUACUCUGACUACCCAUUUUACACCAUAAAGCUGCCUUUGCCACAGGGGAAAAUCCAACAAACAUACUACUCAUCCAAACAAAUUUGUCCCAAAUUGCACUGA